GGUGUAUAGCGUGAUGCACUGGUCUCACGCCAUACUGAAAGGAAGUUUGGUCGCAAAUGAGCUGCAAACGAAGACUGGAAAAUAUCUGCAUGGCCCGCCUUGAAGCUCUUCCCAGCAAAAGAACGAUACAAGACUCACAUCUCGGUAGUAAAACAUUGCACACCGAAUACGUAUUCACUGCCAAGAGCACGAAAAUUGACCGAAAGAGAAAACUGAUCUAGCAGCAUUACCACUCCAUCGGUUGUAUAGUUGGGUUGCACAAGGCCUACUGCAAAUCGUUCCAUGCGAACAAUGUGGCAUGAAAA